UGCCAGCCGCCGCGGUAAUAUGGAGGGGGCUAGCGUUGUUCGGAAUUACUGGGCGUAAAGCGCGCGUAGGCGGAUUGUUAAGUUGGGGGUGAAAUCCCGGGGCCCAACCCCGGAACUGCCCUCAAAACUGGCAGUCUUGAGGACGGAAGAGGCAAGUGGAAUACCGAGUGUAGAGGUGAAAUUCGUAGAUAUUCGGUGGAACACCAGUGGCGAAGGCGGCUAACUGGACUGAUACUGACGCUGAGGUGCGAAAGUGUGGGGAGCAAACAGGAUUAGAUA
rnacentral:rRNA from 1 species